rnacentral:rRNA from 1 species
CCCAAGCAGUCUGAGCAGACAAUUAUGAAUGCCAUAGAUAAGAAAUCCAUGGAUAAAGAAGAAAACAUGUACUUUUCAGAAUGCCCUUUUUGGGCAUUGGUUUAUUAAAAAAAAAAUAAACUUCUCCUCUUCACUUCUUCAUUUAUUGAAGAAAGAGAGAAGUCGAGAUGAAAAGAAUGGCUCGUAAUCUUAUCUAUCAUCAUCAUCUUUCAGAUGAUGAUGAAUACAUUUCUUUUAAACAGCGACUAUGUCGAAGUUAACAAAAAAAAGAAAUAAAGGAUGUAUUUUUGUCUAUAAAUGAAAGUGUAAGCAUUCCACCUCAAGAGUAAAGUGGCAACGCACAAACUGAAAUCAUUAGACCGUUUCUGAAACCAGUAGUGAAGUAUGUUGUUUAAUUUGAUGGUCCGCAAAAAACCUUACCACAAUUUGUAUAUUAUUAGCUUAAUACAAGAGUUGCACGGCUGUCUUCAGUUAAUGUCGUGAGAUUUUGGUUAGUUCCAUAAAAUUAACGUAAACCCUUACUUUAUUUAUAUUAUAAAGUAGUUCACCACUAUAUUGGAUAUGAUAAGAGGGACUAAGACAAGUCAUCAUGGCCUGAAUAUUGUGGGCU